rnacentral:rRNA from 1 species
UACGUAGGGGGCGAGCGUUGUCCGGAUUCAUUGGGCGUAAAGAGCUCGUAGGCGGUUCGGUAAGUCAGGUGUGAAAACUCCAGGCUCAACUUGGAGACGCCACCUGAUACUGUCCGUGACUAGAGUCCGGUGAGGGGAGGCAUGGAAUUCCUGGUGUAGCGGUGAAAUGCGCAGAUAUCAGGAGGAACACCAGCGGCGAAAGGGCGGGUGCU